GAUUUCAGUGAAACUCCUGCUAUUCUAAGAAGCUGUAUUUGGUGUACAGUGGGGAGGAGCAAGGAAACAAACUCUCCAGUCUGUUUCCUAGUCUGGCUCAGUCGGACAGCGUCUGAAGGAGCUCAAGCAGAGAACUUGGUCUGCUCCCCAAGGGGGGAGUUCUGAUACCUUGAGAAGAUGACUGCAAAAGAAGUAGGGUCCGCGCUUGCCUUCUCACUCUCCUACUCCGUCAUGAAAAUGUCUCUGCAUGCAGGAGCCACUGGGGCUGCAGUGUGGCCCUGUGUUGCUCUGGGCUGCGUUGCUAUCCUCGCUGUCACCUUCCUCGUCAACAAUAAGAUGAAAAAUAAACAGAAAUAGUAAAAUGUGUUCACAGGAAUCCUCUACAGUCCUCCCCUCACCGUGGACAUGGGAGGCCCCACCUUCCUGGGGAACAUUGUGAAGCAACGUGGUACACACGGUUUAUAUUUUGGGUGUGAAUGAAGUCAACUUUUGGGCAAAAUAAAAACUGACCUGAAGCUAAUGAAAAAAAUUAA